rnacentral:rRNA from 1 species
GAUGAACGCUGGCUACAGGCUUAACACAUGCAAGUCGAGGGGUAACGACGGGGAAGCUUGCUUCCUCGGGCGUCGACCGGCGCACGGGUGAGUAACGCGUAUCCAACCUGCCUUUGACUGAGGGCUAACCCGCCGAAAGUCGGCCUAAUCCCUCCUGGUAUCGUCCGCGUGCAUCCAACGACGAUUAAUGACUUCACCGCUCAGGGAUGGGGAUGCGUUUGAUUAGCUUGUUGGCGGGGUAACGGCCCACCAAGGCUACGAUCAGUAGGGGUUCUGAGAGGAAGGUCCCCGACAUAGGAGCUGGGACACGGACCAAACUCCUACGGGAGGCAGCAGUGAGGAAUAGUGGUCAAUGGGCGAGUGCCUGAGCCAGCCAAGUAGCGUGCAGGAAGACGGCCCUAUGGUUUGUAAACUGCGUUUAUGCGGGGAUAAAAUGAGGGACGUGUCCCUCAUUGCAGGUACCGCAUGAAUAAGGACCGGCUAAUUCCGUG